GGUUAAGCGACUAAGCGUACACGGUGGAUGCCCUGGCAGUCAGAGGCGAUGAAGGACGUGCUAAUCUGCGAAAAGCGCCGGCGAGGUGAUAUGAACCCUUGACCCGGCGAUGUCCGAAUGGGGAAACCCAGUGCAAUCCGUUGCACUAUCGUUAACUGAAUACAUAGGUUAACGAGGCGAACCGGGGGAACUGAAACAUCUAAGUACCCCGAGGAAAAGAAAUCAACCGAGAUUCCCCCAGUAGCGGCGAGCGAACGGGGAGCAGCCCGGAGUCUGAAUCAGCUUGUGUGUUAGUGGAACGGUCUGGAAAGUCCGACGGUACAGGGUGAUAGUCCCGUACACGAAAGCACACAUGCUGUGAACUCGAAGAGUAGGGCGGGACACGUGGUAUCCUGUCUGAAUAUGGGGGGACCAUCCUCCAAGGCUAAAUACUCCUGACUGACCGAUAGUGAACCAGUACCGUGAGGGAAAGGCGAAAAGAACCCCGGCGAGGGGAGUGAAAAAGAACCUGAAACCGUGUACGUACAAGCAGUGGGAGCCUCUUUAUGGGGUGACUGCGUACCUUUUGUAUAAUGGGUCAGCGACUUAUAUUCUGUAGCAAGGUUAACCGUAUAGGGGAGCCGAAGGGAAACCGAGUCUUAACUGGGCGUUAAGUUGCAGGGUAUAGACCCGAAACCCGGUGAUCUAGCCAUGGGCAGGUUGAAGGUUGGGUAACACUAACUGGAGGACCGAACCGACUAAUGUUGAAAAAUUAGCGGAUGACCUGUGGCUGGGGGUGAAAGGCCAAUCAAACCGGGAGAUAGCUGGUUCUCCCCGAAAGCUAUUUAGGUAGCGCCUCGUGAACUCAUCUUCGGGGGUAGAGCACUGUUUCGGCUAGGGGGCCAUCCCGGCUUACCAACCCGAUGCAAACUACGAAUACCGAAGAAUGUUAUCACGGGAGACACACGGCGGGUGCUAACGUCCGUCGUGAAGAGGGAAACAACCCAGACCGCCAGCUAAGGUCCCAAAGUCAUGGUUAAGUGGGAAACGAUGUGGGAAGGCACAGACAGCCAGGAUGUUGGCUUAGAAGCAGCCAUCAUUUAAAGAAAGCGUAAUAGCUCACUGGUCGAGUCGGCCUGCGCGGAAGAUGUAACGGGGCUAAACCAUGCACCGAAGCUGCGGCAGCGACACUAUGUGUUGUUGGGUAGGGGAGCGUUCUGUAAGCCGUUGAAGGUGUGCUGUGAGGCAUGCUGGAGGUAUCAGAAGUGCGAAUGCUGACAUAAGUAACGAUAAAGCGGGUGAAAAGCCCGCUCGCCGGAAGACCAAGGGUUCCUGUCCAACGUUAAUCGGGGCAGGGUGAGUCGACCCCUAAGGCGAGGCCGAAAGGCGUAGUCGAUGGGAAACAGGUUAAUAUUCCUGUACUUGGUGUUACUGCGAAGGGGGGACGGAGAAGGCUAUGUCAGCCGGGCGACGGUUGUCCCGGUUUAAGCAUGUAGGCGGAGGUUCCAGGUAAAUCCGGUACCUUUUAACGCUGAGGUGUGAUGACGAGGCACUACGGUGCUGAAGUGAUAAAUGCCCUGCUUCCAGGAAAAGCCUCUAAGCAUCAGGUAACAUCAAAUCGUACCCCAAACCGACACAGGUGGUCAGGUAGAGAAUACCAAGGCGCUUGAGAGAACUCGGGUGAAGGAACUAGGCAAAAUGGUGCCGUAACUUCGGGAGAAGGCACGCUGAUGUGUAGGUGAAGCCCCUGCGGGCGGAGCUGAAAUCAGUCGAAGAUACCAGCUGGCUGCAACUGUUUAUUAAAAACACAGCACUGUGCAAACACGAAAGUGGACGUAUACGGUGUGACGCCUGCCCGGUGCCGGAAGGUUAAUUGAUGGGGUUAGCGGCAACGCGAAGCUCUUGAUCGAAGCCCCGGUAAACGGCGGCCGUAACUAUAACGGUCCUAAGGUAGCGAAAUUCCUUGUCGGGUAAGUUCCGACCUGCACGAAUGGCGUAAUGAUGGCCAGGCUGUCUCCACCCGAGACUCAGUGAAAUUGAACUCGCUGUGAAGAUGCAGUGUACCCGCGGCAAGACGGAAAGACCCCGUGAACCUUUACUAUAGCUUGACACUGAACACUGGUCCUUGAUGUGUAGGAUAGGUGGGAGGCUUUGAAGCGUGGACGCCAGUCUGCGUGGAGCCGACCUUGAAAUACCACCCUUUAAUGGCUGGUGUUCUAACGUAGACCCGUAAUCCGGGUUGCGGACAGUGUCUGGUGGGUAGUUUGACUGGGGCGGUCUCCUCCCAAAGAGUAACGGAGGAGCACGAAGGUUGGCUAAUCCUGGUCGGACAUCAGGAGGUUAGUGCAAUGGCAUAAGCCAGCUUGACUGCGAGCGUGACGGCGCGAGCAGGUGCGAAAGCAGGUCAUAGUGAUCCGGUGGUUCUGAAUGGAAGGGCCAUCGCUCAACGGAUAAAAGGUACUCCGGGGAUAACAGGCUGAUACCGCCCAAGAGUUCAUAUCGACGGCGGUGUUUGGCACCUCGAUGUCGGCUCAUCACAUCCUGGGGCUGAAGUAGGUCCCAAGGGUAUGGCUGUUCGCCAUUUAAAGUGGUACGCGAGCUGGGUUUAGAACGUCGUGAGACAGUUCGGUCCCUAUCUGCCGUGGGCGCUGGAGAAUUGAGGGGGGCUGCUCCUAGUACGAGAGGACCGGAGUGGACGCAUCACUGGUGUUCGGGUUGUCAUGCCAAUGGCACUGCCCGGUAGCUAAAUGCGGAAGAGAUAAGUGCUGAAAGCAUCUAAGCACGAAACUUGCCCCGAGAUGAGUUCUCCCUGAGACUUUAAGUCUCCUGAAGGAACGUUGAAGACGACGACGUUGAUAGGUCGGGUGUGUAAGCGCAGCGAUGCGUUGAGCUAACCGAUACUAAUGAACCGUGAGGCUUAACCUU
rnacentral:rRNA from 1 species